GAUGAAGAACGCAGCGAAAUGCGAUAAGUAAUGCGAAUUGCAGAAUUUCCGUGAGUCAUCGAAUCUUUGAACGCACAUUGCGCCCACUGGUAUUUCGGUGGGCAUGCCUGUUCGAGCGUCAUUAUCCUCCCUCAAACCCCGGGUUUGGUGUUGGACCCAAGUUGUGUGAACAACUGGUCUCAAAGACAAUGACGGCGUCCGUGGGACCCUCGGUGCAACGAGCUUUUAGGAGCACGCAUCGAGUUGCAAGGACCUUCCGGGCCGGUCUCCUUUACCAUUUUACAAGGUUGACCUCGGAUCAGGUAGGAAUACCCGCUGAACUUAAGCAUAUCAAUAAGCGGAGGA
rnacentral:misc_RNA from 1 species